rnacentral:tRNA from 1 species
GCCACUGUGGCAUAGGGGUUUGAGUGUCGGACUAUGACUCUGCAGACCAGGGUUCGAUUUCCAGCUCAGCCA